GCAAGUCGAACGAUUAAAGCACCUUCGGGUGUGUAUAAAGUGGCGAACGGCUGAGUAACACGUGGGCAACCUGCCCCUCUCAUUGGGAUAGCCACGGGAAACCGUGGAUACUACCGAAUACUUCGAGACUUCCGCAUGGAAGACUCGAGAAAGCUCCGGCGGAGAGGGAUGGGCCCGCGGCCUGUUAGCUUGUUGGUGAGGUAACGGCCUACCAAGGCAAUGAUGGGUAGCUGGGUUGAGAGACCGACC
rnacentral:rRNA from 1 species